UCUCUGUUCUUAUAUCUAUGAUGAAAGAGUGUUAAGUCCUAAUUAGACAAUUGAAAAAAUUGAAGAUCACGCAGUUCUGAAGGCACGAUUAAAAUUAUCAAACAAAAGACGAACGAUGAACAAAAUUGAGAAAAUCUUCAAAGACAUUUACUACGACCAAUUCAAAUGGUCAGUAGUGAAAAAUAUUGCUUUUUUUGCCAUCGGUGUCAAGAUCGCCAUCGAAUGCAACGGAAUGACUCUUAUGCCGCCAGUCCCCACUUAACUCAUGAAUCUAUUAUAUCUAUUAUAUUUUAUAGGGUCUAGAAAAGUAAUUUUUUUCUAGUCUCUAAUUGAUUUCUAACUGAAGAGUCAAAGUAGUCAUUAGAAGAAAACUGUUUUUUGCGUUUUGCGUACCAGUUAUAAUUAUUGCAGGAAUACAUUUGACUUUGUUUAUAUUGUAUAAAUAUUGUAUGUAUAUUGUAUAUUGGAUUUUGAGAUAAGAUGUUGAUUUUUUAAUAAACAAUAUUUAUACAUAUAGGGACAUAAUGCUUUCUCGCAUAAAAUUGUAACAAUCGAUAUGCCGACGAAUUGAAACAAUCAAUAUGCCUCACUUCUAAA